AACUUUGCGCAGAGGCGAUAUCGUAACCAAUGAGAUACAACCGAGGUACGAUUAUUGAUAGUUGAAAACUAUAAUGUUACCUGAGAUAGUUGGUAUUGAGCUAUAAUUUGAUUCUUAAUUGACAGAGUGAUUGUGGUAUC